CUGAUGGAUUACCUGUGGGAGGAAGAGGGGCAGAAAAAACAGGUAGCACCAAAUAUUGUGAAUGAGUAUGAAGUGUGAUAGCAACACCUGGAUACAAAGGGGCAGGACUGGUGCUGAAAGAGGCAGCCUCUUUCCUCAAUCUCCAUGCACUGCUGCCUCUGGAAACAGCACUGGGCUAGAGAGGCUGUGAAUUGCUGAGUUAAGGCAAUGACUGCAACAAAACAUUGGGAACUAGGUAGAGUGUUAAGGUGUGCUGCACCUCCAGAGGCUACAAGAAAGAAUCAAAUGUCUGCUUGACCUAUGCCCUCGAUUACUGUGUACAUUCUUAUGGCAUCUUGUACUUUCUCUUCAUUUAAUUUCUAUCCAUAAUAGAUGUUCUCCUAUUAACAGAGCUUCCUCAAGCGUCACUCCAUCCUCGGAGCUGCUCCUCCAUCUGUCCACAUAGUUAAUAGUCAAACAUGACUAUUAGGGUUACAUGACCUCACUUCCGACCAUAAGGCAUGGACCCAAAGAUGGACCCCUACUCAUGAGGGUCCGUUCAUAGACAAUACACAAUCACACCACACUCAUGUAGAAAAUGUUUUCAAGCAUUAGGUGUUCCAAAAGGCAGUCACUAAAAUAUCCAAUGAGCUCAUUCAAGGCGGGCUAGCUGUGCUUGAGAAUAUUUGAAGCCUCUUUGGUGUAUCUACCUGCCUGCUCUAUUUGGUGGCAGUGAGACAAAGCAAUGAGCUAAAUUAGCAACUGUGUACUCUCAGACGCUGAGCCCUCAAAGAUGGGAACAUUAUGGGCCUUUGCAGGAAAGCAUCAAAACAUGUAACUGUAUUGGCUACAUCAUCUUGUGUCACUAUGGCCCCUGAAGAGAGACACCCUGCAGACCAAGCUUACCCCCUGACUUCAGCUAGGGCACAAGACAAGCUGGCUAUGUAGCUGGGGUCACCCUUCUUCUGCCAGCCGCCAGAAGUCUGUAGUAGCUGGACAUUGCAGAUAUCAAUUUUUCUGGCAAUUCUAAGGAAGUAUACUGGUUUAAAAAAAAAAUGAGAUUCUGGAAAUCCGAAUAGGAAUACUGGGGAGAAUUCAGAGGAAAUGAGAUGACUCAUCCUACCUCCAAAGCACUAACUACUUUGUUCCAGCACUUCUUCUAUCUCAUCACAACCCUCUCCAUUAAAAUGAGAGAAAAUAAAACAAAACAGAACACAAGUGGUUAUGCACUUAUGUAGAAAACAGUCACUUGAAAGCAGCAAAGGGAGUGAGUGUUCCAUCCAGGCCCAAUUCUAACACCAACACCUGAGCCUACUGUUUCCCCCAGAAAGAGGAUUUUAAAGGCUGGGAUCAAGGAGAUGAUGUUUACAGCAUGAAGGUCAAACCCAUAUUCAGAGUCUGUAACUAGAGUUCUGGAGCUGGUUAUUAGUAAAAGGAGCCUCCCCAGUUGAAUUUACAGACAACCAGAGGAAAGAAGAGCUUAAGGGUAGAAAAGAGGACUAUGGUUACUCAGUCCCUAAAGCAAUUUCUAGACAUAACAGAGAGUGAGCUGCAGAGCAGAGUGGGCCUCUUAAAAGGGUAUUUUUUUUUUAUUCUUUAGGGCUGCAUCAGAAUGGCCUGGAAAUGAGAAAUUCUGUUGGGCAGAUGCUUGUGGAAGCCAGAUUGCUUCUACUCUCAGCAGAGUGAGCCAAGAAAGCAGGGUGGUGGGAGCUUGCAUGAAAUCAGGUUAUUUAGUGAACACUUUGGCUACACGUGUGCUAGGUGCUUUCGUAAGCACCUUCCAGGCAUUAACUCGUCAGCUCUUAAGAGCCCUGUAAAGUGGGUACUUCUAUGUUGCAGAUCAGGAAACAGGAACAGGGCAGUCAGGUAAUCUGGCCAAAGCCACAUGGAAAAUGACAGAUCCUGGCAGCCUGGCCCAAGAGUCCAUGGGAUGUGUUUCCAUUUGUUCGCAUCAUCUAUAAUUUCUUUCAAAGUGGGCUAAGGACAUGAGUAGACAAUUCUCAAAAGAAGAUAUGCUUUUAGCUGUGAGUCUACUGUGCUUAACCCAACUAUUGUGGUCUAGGAUCUGAUACAGGCUAAGGAUCAGAGUCCCCUGUACCAUGUUCCUCUUCCCUUCUUUUUCUGAAUGGGACCACAGUCAUCUAUGUUUGUCCAGGAGUGUGUGCCAGCUCCUCCGUCAUCCUCCACCAGUGUGUGCUGUGCUGGUUACAUUCCCUUCAGUCUCAUUAGUGUGGACAUGGAACAUUCAUAUUUAUGUUCCUUGGCACACACUCAGCAUACAGUAGUGAUCUCUGAAAACAAUGUCACCAGAUCAGGAAACAACAUUUAACUGAUGGAAGAAUAUCGCUACCAUGUCAACUGAUUAUUUUCCCCAAGUUUUCUUAAGACACCAUGUUUCCUAAAUGACACAACUUCAUAUUCAUUUAUUUAGAAAACAAACUGAGGAACGUUCACUUCUGGAGAGCUAUAGCAUGUUAUUGUUCCUGUUGUAAAAAUUUCAAAAAAGAGUCAUUUUUCUAAAACAUCAGGAAAUUCUGACAAAUGGAGAGAAUUCCAGAUGGAGUGAAGCUUUUUGAGGUGAACAGAUAAUUACCAGCUGCUUUUUUCCUCCCGGGGACAUUUGCCAAUUCUGAGCAUUUCCCCAGAUCCAGAGAGUUUUUUCUGGAAGGAAGAUAAACCACAUGAUAUUUUGGAGUUUCAUGGGACUAAAGAAACAAAUUGGAAACUUAUAGGUCCUCAAAUGCACAGCCAUCGUCCACAGGGGACACUCAUUUAGCUGUUCACCUGCAUGGGUGAUGGGCGCCCUAGGCCAAAGUUUAUAGAAAGCAGAAUGAAACCUCCUACAGUGACAGAGGUGCUUCAGAAGUAAAACCCUGGCAGGGGUGAUGAUGGCCUCUAGCAUGUGACCAGUCUCAUCUUAAAACAUUUUCUGGAUUUUGAAAGUGUGUGGGGCACAAGGCUGCAGAGUCAGGCUGGGAGCUCUGAAACACAGGGCUAGAUUUGCUGUCAUCUUUCAGGGCUGAGGAACAAAGACCUCGCAAUGAAAGGCAAAGGCGGAUCAAGCCUGAGGAUUAGGAGAGAACCAGGGGUAGACUGGUUCUCCAGCACAGCCCAGCGAGGAACUACAGUAAGAGUGAAAGCUGAUGUCUUCAUGGAAACACUGGAAGCCAGAAGCCAACAUGUUCCUGGUUAAAUUACUGAGAGAAAAAAAAAAAAAGUCAACAUAAAAUUCUACACUGAAUAAAAAAUACCCCUCGAAAAUGAAAGUGAUAAGAUUGUUUGGCUUUUUUCUUGCUAAUUUGUUUGAGCUCCUUGUAGAUUCUGAAUAUUUGUCCUUUGUCAGAUGUAUAGAUUGUGAAGAUUUUCUCCCACACUGUGGGUUGUCUGUUUAUGCUGCUGACUAUUCCUUUUGCCAUACAAAAGUUCUUCAGUUUAAUUAAGUCCCACCUGUUUGUGUUUGUUUUUGUUGUAUUUGUUCUUGGGUUCUUGGUCAUAAAGUCUUUGCCUAAGCUAAUGUCUAGAACAGUUUUUCUGAUGUGAUCUUUUAGAAUUUUUAUAAUUUCAGGUCUUAGAUUUAAGUCCUUGAUCUAUCUGGAGUUGAUUUUUGAAUAAGGUGAGAGGUGAGGAUCCAGUUUCAUUCUCCUAUAUGUGGCUUGCCAGUUAUCCAAGCACCAUUUGUUGAAUAGGGUGUCUUUCCCCACUUUAUGUUUUUGUUUGCUUUGUUGAAAAUCAGUUGGCUGUAAGUAUUUGGGUGUAUUUCUGGGUUCUUUAUUCUGUUCCAUUAGUCUAUCUGCCUGUUUUAUACUAGCACCAUGUUGUUUGACUAUGGCCUUAUAGUAUAGUUUGAAAUCAGAUAAUGUGAUGUCUCCAGAUUUUUUCUUGCUGCUUAGUCUUGCUUUGGCUAUGUGGGCUUUUUGGUUCCAUAUGAGUUUUAGGAUUGCUUUUUCUAGUUCUGUGAAGAAUGAUAGUGGUAUUUUGAUGGGAAUUACAUUGAAUUUGUAGAUUGCUUUUGGCAGUAUGGUCAUUUUCACAAUGUUGAUUCUACCCAUCAAAGAGCAUGGGAUGUGUUUCCAUUUGUUCGCAUCAUCUAUAAUUUCUUUCGAAGUGGGCUAAGGACUUGAGUAGACACUUCUCGAAAGAAGAUACACAAAUGCCCAACAAACAUAUGAAAAAAUGCUCAACAUCACUACUGGUGAGGGAAAUGCUAAUCAAAACCAGAAUGUGAUACCACCUUUCUCCCACAAGAAUAGCCAUUAUCAAAAAAUCAGAAAAUAAUAAAUGUUGGCAUAGAUGCAGUGAAAAGGGAGCACUUCUACACUGCUGGUGGGAAUGUAAACUAGUAAAACCACUAUGGAAAACAGCAUGGAGAUUCCAUAAGGAACUAAAAGUAGAAUUACCAUUUGACUCAGCAAUCCCACUACUGAGUAUCUACCCAGAGGAAAGUAAGUCAUUAUACAAAAAAAAUACGUGCACAUGCAUGUUUAUAGCAGCACAAUUCGCAAUUGCAAAAAUGUGGAACCAGCCCAAAUGCCCAUCAAUCAAUGAGUGGAUAAAGAAGCUGUGGUAUAUGAUGAUGUAUGUGAUAUAUAUAUACCCCAUAUAUGAUCAUAUGUAUGAUCAUAUAUAUGAUAUGUAUGAUGUAUAGAUAUAUGAUGUGUGUGUGUGUGUACAUAUAUAUAUAUAUGAUGGAAUACUACUCUGGCAUAAAAAGUAAUUAAUGGCAUUUGCAGCAACCUGGAUGGGAUUGGAGACUAUUGUUCCAAGUGAACUAACUCAGGAAUGGGAAACCAGACAUUGUAUGUUCUCACUUAUAAGUGGGAGCUAAGCUAUGAGGAUGCAAAGGCAUAAGAAUGACAGAAUGGACUUUGGGACUGGAAGGAAAGGGUGGGAGGGCAUGAUGGAUAAAAGACUACAAAUUGGGUUCAGUGUACACUGCUUGGGUGAUGGGUGCAUCAAAAUCUCACAAAUCACCACUAAAGAACUUACUCAUGUAACCAAAUACCACCUGCUCACCAAAAACCUAUGGAAAUAAAAGAAAUUUAAAAAGAAAGUGAAAUAAAGACGUUCUUGGACAAACAAAAAUGAGGGAAUUUGUCAUCAAACCUCUUACAUUAAUAGAAAGAAUAAGAUUUUUUUUUUUUUUUUUUUUUGUAGAAGACGAUGAUUCCAGAUGGAAAAAAUGGAAAUGUAAGAGGGAAUUAACAACACUGGAAUUAGUAAACCCAUGGGUAAUGUAAAAUGGAAUUUUAAAAAUAUCCAAAUAAUCUGAAAGAAGUCAUCAUAAGGAAACAGAAGAAUGAAAACAGCAGGGACAAUCAGAAAAACACGUAAUAAAACUAAUAUACCUUGUAAUGGUGAAUAUUGAGUGUCAACUUGGUUGGAUUGAAGGAUGCAAAGUAUUGUUCCUGGGUGUGUCUGUGAGGGUGUUGCCAAAAGAGAUUAACAUUUGAGUCAGUGGACUGGGAGAGGCAGACCCACCCUUGAUCUGGGUGGGCACCAUCUAAUCAGCUGCCAGCACUGCUAGAAUAAAGCAGAGGGAAGAACAUGGAAGGACUUGACUUGCUGAAUCUUUUGGCCUUCAUCUUUCUUCUAUGCUGGAUGUGUCCUUCUUUUUUUUUUUCAUUUUUUUUAGACAGAAUUUUGCUCUUGUUGCCCAGGCUGAAGUACAAUUACACUGUCUCUGCUCACUGCAACCUUCGCCUCCCUGGUUCAAGCAAUUCUCCUGCCUCAGCCUCCCGAGUAGCUGGGGUUACAGGCAUGCACCACCACGCCCAGCUAACUUUUGUAUUUUUAGUAGAGACAGGUUUUCUCCAGGUUGGCCAGGGUGGUCUCGAACUCCUGACCUCAGGUGAUCCACCCAAGUCGGCCUCCCAAAGUGCUGGGAUUACAGGCAUGAGCCACUGCGCCUGGCCCUGCUUCCUUCUCUUGAACAUUGGAUUCCAACUUCUUCAGCUUUUGGACUCUUGGACUUACAUCAGUGGUUUGCCAGGGGCUCUUGGGCCUUUGGUCACGGAUUAAAGACUGCACUGUUGGCUUCCCUGCUUUUGAGGUUUUGGGACUCGGACUGGCUUCUUUGCUCCUCAGCUUGCAGAUGGACUAUUGUGGGACUUCACUUUGUGAUGGUGUUGAGUCAAUUCUCCCUAACAAACUCCCCUUUAUAUAUUCAUCUAUCGUGUUAGUUCUGUCGCUCUAGAGAAUCUAUCUAAUACAUACCUAAAUCUAACCAUAUCAAUAAUUACAUUAAUAGAAAUGGUCUCAUGAAAGGUUGUCAGAUUGGAUAAAAAUAAAUAAGACUCAUCUGUUAUGUUGCCUACAGAAAUCUCAUGUCAAAUAUAGAAAGAUGAAUACAUUAAAGUGAAGGGGUGAAUUUUUUGUGGGGAGGAGGCAAAAAGUUCUAAAAUUACAUUGUAGAGAUAGUUGCACAACAUUAAGAAGUUACGAAGAAACACUGAAUUUUCAUAACUUAAAGGCACGGGUUGUGUGGUAUGUGAAUUAUAUCUUGAUAAAGCUAUUUUUAAAAAGUAAAGGAUGAAAAAAUAUACCUUGCAGACAAUGAACAAAAUAAUGGAGUGGCUAUAUUAAUUUCAGACAAAGUAGACUUAAGACAAAGAAAUACAAAUAAAAAAUGAAAUUGUAUAAUGAUGAAUAGAUCUUCACCAAAAAAGAUGCAAUAAUUUUAAAAGUCUUUGUAUCUCAAAUAUAGCUUCCAAAUGCAUGAGGCAAAAACUGAUGAAACCGAAAGGUGUGGACAAAGCCACAGUAUAGUUGGAGACUUCUGUGCUCUUCUCUCAGGAAUAGAUGAAAAAUGAACACAGAAAGCCAGCAGAGACAUGGAUGUGGACACAAGUAACCAACCAGACCUAAUCCACACUUCCAGAAGACUCCACCCAAUGGAAGCAGAAUACAUAUUUUUGUUGAAGUGCCCAAGGAAAUUUCAGCCAGACAGGUCAUAUCCUGGGCCAUAAAAACAUUUUAGUACAUUUAAGAGAACUGAAAUCAUACAAGGCAUACCCUCAGAUCAUAGGGGAAUUAAACUAGAAUUCAGCAGCAGAAAGGUACCUGGAAAACCCCAAAUACUUGGAAAGCAUCAGUAUUAGCCAAAGAGAAAGUCCCAUGGGAAAUUAGAAAAUAUUUUGAACUGAAUGAAAAUGGAAACAAAACAAAUUAAGAUUUGUGGGAUGCAGCUAUUACAGUGUUGAGAUGGAAAUUUACAACUCUAUUAAAUGCUUUUAUUAGGAAGAAAAGAAACACUUCAAGUCAGUGAUCUAUGCUACCUAUUUAAGAAAGCAGAAAUAGAGAAAAUUAAGCCCAAAGCAAGCAAAAGAAAAGAAAAUAAAAAACAACAGGAAUCAAUAAAACAGUAAAACAAUAGAGAAAAUCAAUGAAAUCAAAAGCUACUUUAAAAAAAUCAAUAGAAUUGAUAGACUUCUAGCUAAACCGACCAAGAAAACACAAUAAGCAAAAUGUUUGCCAUGCAUGAAACUGGCAAGGAAUAUUAUCCAGAAUAUGUGGAAAAUUCCUAACAUCAUCAAGAAAAUCAUGCAAACAAGUUGGGAAAUAAGAAAAGGAUGUAUUUGGAUUAACAAGUCUGAGAAUAUGUGAAAAUACUGCUUGGCAACCAGGAAAUAAAAUAAAACCACAAUAAGAUCCAUUUUACAUUUAUCAUAUUGGCAAAAAUUAAAUGAAUAAUUAAACCAAGUGUUUACCAGGAGAGAUGGAAAACUUUACUCCCUUUUAGAAGUACAUACAUUGGUUUAACCUUUUAGGGGAGUAAUUUGGUAAUAACCACUACAGUUGAAAAUGUCCAUGAGCAGAAACUUAGCACUUCCAUUUCUAGGGGAAUCUUGGGCAAUUUUUUUGUUUCCCCCAGUUGUAAGUUAGAGGCAUUUUCAGUGAUGUUAAUUGUAGCAUGGCUUGUAACAUUGAUAACUUGGAAAUGAUUUUGAUGUAAGUUUUCCACUCACUUUGGUCAAACUGUAAACAUGUUCUUAAGAAAUGCCAUGACCACAUUUAUAUGGAACUUGUUUCUCAGAAAAGUUUCCAAUGAAGGAGGCAUGUUUGCACCUAAAAAGCAAUAUGAUUGUGUGUGUUUGUGUGUGUGUGUGUGUGUGUGUUGAAAAGCUUAUAGAGGCACUGGCCAGAAUGUAUGCUCACUUCCUUGGGUGCUGUAACUUCUAGCCCUCUAGUGAAGUUGUAAACUACAAUAUGACCUGCAUAUUGGCACUGAGCACAGAGCAUCAUCGAUCUCCCUGCACCUUUCAUGGAGAUCACUGAAUUAGGUUUUCUGUGGACCACAACACAACAGACCAGAGGAAAACACCAUCUGCCUUGUGCUCAUCUGUCCCCCUGAGGCACCACAGCACCCUAGGGCCAGCAGCAGCAGGUCGUGUGACACCUGCCCUUCAGUCCCUAAUGCUUUCCUCUCCUCCUGAGCUUGCUCCCUGCCAUGCUUGUUGAAGGAAUAUGAGUAUAAUUUUGCACUAAGUAUGUGUCGGUCAUCAAUAGUUUCUUAUUGUAUCGAUACCUCAGCCCUAAAGUUGUUUUUUAAUUUAAUUUUUUUUUGAGACACGGUCUCUGUUGCUUAGGCUGGAAUGCAAUGGUGUGAAGACAGCUCACUGCAGCCUCAGUCUCCUGAGCUCAAGUGAUCCUCUUGCCUCAGCCUCCCAAGUAGCGGGGACUACAGUUGUUAACCCUAAAGUCUGUACAUUUCACCUGGAGCUAAUUCUUAGAAUAAAAUAACAAGUGGGAGAUGCAUGUAUCAAAAUGGAAAAAAAAGUCCCACCACAGCAAAAACAAGAAGCUGUUUGCAGAAUAAUCUGUAGAAAGUGAGAUUUUUUUUUACACUUUGAAAGCAUGAAUAGCAUUGGUUAUUACUUGUGAAUAUUAUAUGAUUUAUGAGUACACCUAUGCUCAGUAAAGGUGCAAACAUGGAUGAAGGGCUACGUGCAAACUUCAUUGUGAUGAUUCACUUCUGGUGUGGUAGGCAGGGAUGAGAUUGAGAGCUAGGAUACAUGUUUUUCCAAAAAUGUAGCUCUAAAGUAAAUAAUGCAAAAUGUUAAGACUUAUUAAAGGUGAUGUUUCAUUAAUCACUGUUUUUUAAGUUUAUACUAUUCCAUAAUAAAUCAUAUUUUAAAAAUCACACAUAUAAUAGAUUUGACCAAAAUCCCAGAAAAAUAUUGGGUUCUCUUGAUCCAAUCUAAUCUCCUCCAUAUUUUGGAUAGCAUCUACAAUGUUAAAAUCAGAACUGGUUUUCAGAAUAUUGACCCUGCAAAGAAAGGAAUACCAUAAUAACAAGAGCAAGUAAGCUUUUAGCUUUUUUUUUUUUAAGCACCUACAGUAUUCCAGGCAGCAUCAUGCUAGGCAUGUUACAUAUAUUUUCUCUAAUUGACCCCCAAAAUUACUUUUUUGUGCACUUACAUGAUGAAUGAUGAAUCUGGGAUUCUUAUCUAGUUCUUUUCUUAUUUUCUUCACUUUAAAAACCAAUUAAAUUAAUAUUGAAAUUGUUGUUACCUAGAAUUUAUAGUUAGCCAAAUGUUUCUAAUUACUUUGUUACUCCUCCACUAUACAAUAAUAUUGCUAACUGCAGGUUUCCCAUCUAGAAGGUGAGCUUGCAGAAAUAUCACAAGACUUUUUCCUCUUUAAAAAUGUAGUCACAGCCAGGUGCGGUGGCUCACUCCUGUAAUAACACUUUGGGAGGGAGGGGGGCAAAUCAUUUGAGGUCAGGAGUUUGAGACCAGCCUGACCAACAUGGUGAAACCCCGUCUCUACUGAAAAAAGUAUAUAAAAAAUUAGCCGAGCAUGAUGGCAUGUGCCUGUAGCCCCAGCUACUCAGGAGGCUGAGGCAGGAGAAUCGCUUGAACCUGGGAGGUGCAGGUUGCAGUGAGCUGAGAUUGUGCCACUGCACUCCAGCCCGGGCAACAGAGUGAGGCUCCAUCCAUUUCAAAAAAAAAAAGAAAAAAAUUAGCCAAGUGUGGUGGCACGCGCCUGUAAUCCCAACUACUUGGGAGGCUGAGGCAGAAGAAUCACUUGAACCUGGGAGGUGGAGGUUGCAGUGAGCCGAGAUUGCGCCACUGAACUCCAGCCUGGGACAGAGGGAGACUAUCUCAAACACACACACAAACAAAAAAAAACAUAGUCACUACUCUGACUUCUUAUUUUCUCAAAAUUUAUGGCAAUUAAAUCCUCCUCACUGAUAAUAAAUAGUGUCUUAAUCAGAAAAAACUGUGCAUUUAUAUACACUUAUGUUGCAUUAAUAAAUACAGUGCAAUUUUAUGAUGGAAAAAUACAAAAUAUAGGAUAUGUUUUUGUUUUUUAUUUUCUAAAUUUCUAUUUAUCUCUACUGGACAUGACCUUUCCCUGUUGAAAAUGCUGCCAUUUCACACAUCAACUUAAUUUACUACCUUCAUUUUUUGCACAUAAUCUGUAAGUCACGAGUGGUGAGUACGGAUUCCCUGAACCUUGGCUGUGUGAAAGAGCUUUGUGUGCUAGAUCUCCUUCUCUUUGUAGCUCAUAUAUGGUUAUAUAAAAUAUAUAUUUAUAUAUGUUUCCUUUUGAAAGGGUUAUCUUACUUACGUUCCCUGACAUAUCUUUAGAAUUAUCGUUUAAUGAUUAAACUAAAUAUUUCCACAUUUCAUUAUUUUAUCUAACACACAAUUUGUUUUAAUUCCAUGCUAUAAUAUAUUUCAGUCUAUAUAACAAAUACAAUGAAUAUAGAAAGAAGGCAUUGGAUUUAUUUAGUGCUCUGCAACUCUUAACUUUGUUUUUAUAUGACAUUACAAAAAGGUUUAUUUGAUCAUUCAGUAAAGCAAACCACAUAACAAUUUGCUUUUUGAUGUGAAUCAAUUGCAUAUUGAUCUUAUUAUGGCUUUCAUCGGCAGCUAUGGCAGGAGUGAGCUGGAUAUUUAUUAAGAUCUUGGGUCCCAGAUUGCCAUUAGUUUAUCAAAGACCAUGAAUGGUUUCUUACGAUGAAUACCUGAAUAUGAUCAAUAUGCAUAAUAACUUUUUAUGUUCUUUACAAAAACAAAAGAAUAUUUUUAAAAACUUGGCAAGAAAUAUGAUAAAUGCCCAUAAUGAAAAUAAAAGAACAUAAAGCACAUGAUAUUACUGUGGAGAGCAGACUGCUGAGAAGAAGAAUAAGGCAUGAAGAAAAGGUGGUAGAGUUAAAAUAGUAACAUAAAUAGAGAUAGCCUAUGCUUAAUGAAACAAUUAAACAGCUCAUUUCUCAAUGUCAAGUGUGGACCCCUAAACAGAUGUGUAACUAGAAAUUUUUAUGCCAAGGGCAAGUACCAAGCAUUUUUGUUUCUGCGUCCCCUUCUGCCAUCAUUCUGCCUUCAGGCCAUCCUCCCACCUCCCUGUGACUUUCAUGCUUUUGCUCUAUUUAUAAAUCGUGGGCUUCCUGUGUCAGGUUACCUGGCCCUCUGAGUCGGCAGAGGAUUGCCAUCAUGGCAAAAAAUGCGAAGAAGUCAUUCUUGGCUGGCUGAUGCUGUCAGCAUUCCCCCCCACCGCCGCUUAGCUUCUCACCACCGAGUUACUUCUAAAGGAUUGCAUCACGCCAAAUAGCAUAAACUUUUAAAAAAAGUAAAAUCUCAUAAAAUGGUAAGUAGAUAAAUGUCAUAUUCUUUUCAUAAAUGCUGUUUAAUUCCAAAGCUACUAUAAAAUACUAUAACCUACGAAAUUCUAGAUUUGAGUCCUGGGAACUGCCACAAAGCUCCCUCAAGGGCCAGUGUGUGGAAUUCCAUGAUGUCGUAUCUCACAGCCAGUUUUAUUCAUGCCCAGUGCUUGGGAAGUGCAAAGGAACACAGCCCCAUGCACAGCGCAGCAAAUGUCCCAGCUUUUGCUAGUUUCAAACAUUUUAUGUAAAAUUAAUUUUCACUACUUUUAUAUAAAGCCAUUAUAGUUUUCAAAUUAAUAAAGUUAUAAUGCAGUACAACAUCAACUAUAUUUUCUAUAUUUUUUUUACAUAAACAACCACCGUAUAUUAAGGCUCCAGCCCUAUCAGAAAAUGUUUUGCAUCUAUUUUGAGAACAAAUGAAGAGUUUGUACACUUAGUGAAAAAAAUACUUGUUUGGAUGUAAAACUUUAUAGAUAGUAACAAUAAAAUUAAAUGUGUAUAUUAGUCAAAAUUCUGAUUUCUAAGCAAAGAAAACUAACCUUGGACAUCUCAGGCAGGUAGAGGCUUCAUUGGAAGGCUAAGGAAGGACAUGAACUUCGACAAAAAGGUCUGGCGAGUGGGUGAGGUGGAUUCAGGGGCUGAUGGCUGGCGUGCUCUGAGCAAAGUUCUUCUCCGACUAAUAUUCUUCUGCUGGUGCUGCAUGGAGCCACUACUGCCCAAUGUCACCCCAUGGAGCCAGGUCAAUUGUUGUCCCUUCCAUUAUAUGUCCCUCACUCUGCAUCCAUCGUAGGUAGGUUAACUGAGCCCAUCUUACAUGUGUUUGUCCAGCUGUCAAAGCAGGGGAGGAAGAGGGAGUCCCUUCCCUUGUAUUUUCAUCGUGGUAGGUGCGAAACUGAAAUGUGAGACUGGCAGGAAAAAGCCAAAUCACAAAUGUCCAUUAUGGCUACUGAAGACUUUUAUUUUUGAACCAAAAAUUCUUUAUGUUUUAUGAAACAGGCCAGGUGCAGUGGCUCCCGCCUGUAAUCCCAGCACUUUGGGAGGCCGAGGCGGACGGAUCACUGAGGUCAGGAGUUUGAGACCAGCCUGACCAACAUGAUGAAACUCCAUCUCUACUAAAAAUACAAAAUUAGCUGGGUGUGGUGGUGCACACCUGUAAUCCCAGCUACUUGGGAGGCUGAGAUAGGAGAAUCACUUGAACCGGGAGGUGGAGGUUGCAGUGAGCUGAGAUCAUCCCAUUGCACUCCAGCCUGGGCAACAAGAGUUAAACUCUGUCUCAAAAAAAAAAAUAAAAUAAAAUAAAUAAAUAAAUAAAUUUUAUGAAACA